rnacentral:rRNA from 1 species
UACGUAGGGUGCAAGCGUUAAUCGGAAUUACUGGGCGUAAAGCGUGCGCAGGCGGUCCGCUAAGACAGAUGUGAAAUCCCCGGGCUUAACCUGGGAACUGCAUUUGUGACUGGCGGGCUAGAGUAUGGCAGAGGGGGGUAGAAUUCCACGUGUAGCAGUGAAAUGCGUAGAGAUGUGGAGGAAUACCGAUGGCGAAGGCAGCCCCCUGGGCCAAUACUGACGCUGAGGAGCGAAAGCGUGGGGAGCGAACAGG